CCUACGGGAGGCAGCAGUCGGGAAUAUUGGACAAUGGGGGCAACCCUGAUCCAGCAAUACCGCGUGUGUGAAGAAGGCCUGCGGGUUGUAAAGCACUUUUAGUAGGGAAGAUAAUGACGUUACCUACAGAAAAAGCACCGGCUAACUCCGUGCCAGCAGCCGCGGUAAUACGGAGGGUGCAAGCGUUAAUCGGAAUUACUGGGCGUAAAGCGUGCGUAGGCGGCUCAUUAAGUCAGAUGUGAAAUCCCCGGGCUCAACCUGGGAACUGCAUCUGAUACUGGGGAGCUAGAAUGUGGGAGAGGGAAGUGGAAUUUCCGGUGUAGCGGUGAAAUGCAUAGAGAUCGGAAGGAACAUCAGUGGCGAAGGCGACUUCCUGGACCAACAUUGACGCUGAGGCACGAAAGCGUGGGUAGCAAACAGGAUUAGAUACCCUGGUAGUCCACGCCGUAAACGAUGUCAACUAGCCGUCGGCUCCAACUAAGGGGUCGGUGGUGCAGCUAACGCAUUAAGUUGACCGCCUGGGGAGUACGCGCGCAAGCGUAAAACUCAAAGGAAUUGACGG
rnacentral:rRNA from 1 species